UUCAUCUCCAACCUCUUCAUCUUCAACUCACUCAUGAAAAGAGGAGAUUUUUUUUCUGUGAUGUUGAUUCAUUGGUACAUAUCAUAAAAAAUCUCCCUCACACAAAAAAGUUUCCUCUCACAAGAACUCUAUCUACCAAAUUAAGGAUCCCAUAAUCCCAGAUUCUUGUCCUAAGAUUAGCGAGGUCUCCUCAAGGUGGUGCCCAAAGAAGUUCCUUGGUCGUGUUCUCAGAUGGAGCUUCAACUUCAAGGGAGAAUUUCACAAUACGAAGGGCUCAUGACACAGAGAGGAUUUCCAAGAAGAAGAUCUUCAAGGAGAAAGAGAAGAACACGUCAGUAACACAUAUGGACAAACAGUCAGCACCCUCAAUCCAUUUCAUCGUCAUUCUAGAAGGAAAAGUUGUUAGAGGGAAUAUUUACCCCAACCAAUCAAAAGUGUACAAAUAUAUUUGUUAUUCUUUAUUACUAAAAUUGUAUAAGGCUAUUUAAGCCUCUGUAUACCAACACAGAAUACAAGGGAAACAAAAAAAUACAAAGAAAUAUUUGCAAGGAAACCUCUCAUCUUCUCUUUACCGCUUCA